rnacentral:rRNA from 1 species
AGGACGUCAUAGAGGGUGAGAAUCCCGUGUGGCGAGGAGUGCGGUUCUUUGUAAAGUGCCUUCGAAGAGUCGAGUUGUUUGGGAAUGCAGCUCUAAGUGGGUGGUAAAUUCCAUCUAAAGCUAAAUAUUGGCGAGAGACCGAUAGCGAACAAGUACAGUGAUGGAAAGAUGAAAAGAACUUUGAAAAGAGAGUGAAAAAGUACGUGAAAUUGUUGAAAGGGAAGGGCAUUUGAUCAGACAUGGUGUUUUGUGCCCUCUGCUCCUUGUGGGUAGGGGAAUCUCGCAUUUCACUGGGCCAGCAUCAGUUUUGGUGGCAGGAUAAAUCCAUAGGAAUGUAGCUUGCCUCGGUAAGUAUUAUAGCCUGUGGGAAUACUGCCAGCUGGGACUGAGGACUGCGACG